GACGAACGCUGGCGGCGUGCCUAACACAUGCAAGUGGAGCGACGAACCAGGCUUCGGCCUGGGGCAAAGCCGCGAACGGGUGAGUAACACGUGGGUAACCUGCCCUGAUGAUCGGGACAACCCGAGGAAACUCGGGCUAAUACCGAAUGUGCCCUCCGACCGCAAGGUCGCUGGGGAAAGGAAGCUUCGGCCUCCGCAUCGGGAUGGGCCCGCGGCGCAUUAGCUUGUUGGUGAGGUAACGGCUCACCAAGGCGACGAUGCGUAGCUGGUCUGAGAGGACGAUCAGCCACACUGGGACUGAGACACGGCCCAGACUCCUACGGGAGGCAGCAGUGGGGAAUCUUGCGCAAUGCGCGAAAGCGUGACGCAGCAACGCCGCGUGGGGGAAGAAGGCCUGGUU
rnacentral:rRNA from 1 species